rnacentral:rRNA from 1 species
AACGAACGCUGGCGGCAUGCCUAACACAUGCAAGUCGAACGAGACCUUCGGGUCUAGUGGCGCACGGGUGCGUAACGCGUGGGAAUCUGCCCCUUGGUUCGGAAUAACUUCGGGAACUGAAGCUAAUACCGGAUAAUGACGUAAGUCCAAAGAUUUAUCGCCAAGGGAUGAGCCCGCGUAGGAUUAGCUAGUUGGUGGGGUAAAGGCUCACCAAGGCGACGAUCCUUAGCUGGGUCUGGAGAGGAUGAUCAGCCACACUGGGACUGAGACACGGCCAGACUCUACGGGAGGCAGCAG